CCUUCCUCUGAAUGCAUAUGGUCUUUAAUAACUUAGAUCCAUUUAAGUUCGUUACUUAUUUGAGGCUUCUCAACAGAUAUAUCAAAAUUAUUUCUGGUCUCAAAGGUGUCGACACCAUCAAACAAGGUGUCGACACCAUCAAACAGGGGGUCGACACUUUCUUUCAGAAAGUACUUGUGUGCUUCUUUAGUCCAUAGAUCGCAGUGCUUAAGGCUGCACACUUAGCAAUUACAUUAACAACAAAUAGGCUGUUUUGUUAUCAUCGAAAUCGAGGCUUGAUUCAACA
rnacentral:lncRNA from 1 species